rnacentral:tRNA from 1 species
GCGGAUGUAGUCAAGCGGUUAAGACAGUAGGUUGUGGCUCUACCAUGCGCGGGUUCGAAUCCCGUCGUUCGCC